GACGAACGCUGGCGGCGUGCUUAACACAUGCAAGUCGAACGGUAAGGCCCUUCGGGGUACACGAGUGGCGAACGGGUGAGUAACACGUGGGUGAUCUGCCCUGCACUUCGGGAUAAGCCUGGGAAACUGGGUCUAAUACCGGAUAGGACCACUGCCUGCAUGGGUGGUGGUGGAAAGCUUUUGCGGUGUAGGAUGGGCCCGCGGCCUAUCAGCUUGUUGGUGGGGUGAUGGCCUACCAAGGCGACGACGGGUAGCCGGCCUGAGAGGGUGACCGGCCACACUGGGACUGAGAUACGGCCCAGACUCCUACGGGAGGCAGCAGUGGGGAAUAUUGCACAAUGGGCGCAAGCCUGAUGCAGCGACGCCGCGUGAGGGAUGACGGCCUUCGGGUUGCAAACCUCUUUCAGCACCGACGAAGCGCAAGUGACGGUAGGUGCAGAAAAAGGACCGGCCAACUACGUGCCAGCCGCCGCCGUAA
rnacentral:rRNA from 1 species